ensembl:lncRNA
CCCGGCUAAGCUCCCACCGGCUCCUCCCAAGUGGAGAACCUCUGCCGAGAAUUGGAGCUUUCGUUUCGGAGUCUGGUCUCGGUCGCUCAGGAUGUAGUCACGGGUUUGGGCUUGAACUCUGGCCACGGGGCAGAUCCUUGGCAAGCCGCUGAAGUCCCUGCCUGGCCCAUCUGCGGCCUGCUCCUCUGCCCUCUAGCGCCGCCUUGGAUGGGGAAACCGAGGCAAAUAACUUUCACAAGCUGUGGAACCGGA